rnacentral:rRNA from 1 species
CCUACGGGCGGCAGCAGUGAGGAAUAUUGGUCAAUGGACGAGAGUCUGAACCAGCCAAGUAGCGUGAAGGAUGACUGCCCUAUGUGUUGUAAACUUCUUUUAUAUGGGAAUAAAAUGUUCCACGUGUGGGAUUUUGUAUGUACCAUAUGAAUAAGGAACGGCUAACUACGUGCCAGCAGCCGCGGUAAUACGGAGGGUCCGAGCGUUAUCCGGAUUUAGUGGGUUUAAAGGGAGCGUAGGUGGAUUGGUAAGGCCGUUGUGAAAGUUUGCGGCUCAACCGUAAAAUUGCAGUUGAAACUGGCAGUCUUGAGUACAGUAGAGGUGGGCGGAAUUCGUGGUGUAGCGGUGAAAUGCUUAGAUAUCACGAAGAACUCCGAUGGCGAAGGCAGUUCACUGGACUGCAACUGACACUGAGGCUCGAAAGUGUGGGUAUCAAACAGGAUUAGAUACCCUGGUAGUC